GUAACACGUGAGCAACCUGCCUUCCGGCGGGGGACAACUCCGAGAAAUCGGGGCUAAUACCGCAUACGUUCCUUAGAUCGCAUGGUCUUUGGAAGAAAAGUGGGGGAUCCUUCGGGACCUCGCACCGGAAGAGGGGCUCGCGGCCGAUUAGCUUGUUGGUGGGGUAACGGCCCACCAAGGCUUCGAUCGGUAGCUGGUUUGAGAGGAUGGUCAGCCACACUGGGAUUGAGAUACGGCCCAG
rnacentral:rRNA from 1 species